CUGAUUUUAACAAAUAUCAUCCAAAGUUAGACGCAGAGACACAGUAGCUUCUUCUUUCAUUUUUAUUUUAUUAAGAUAUCAUAUUAUACAAAAUAGUACUUUAUUCUAUGUAUGACAUCAGUACAAUCUAAUAUUAUUUGACACCGUUGUCAUCAUCGAGGUUUGAUCGUGACUUACGUCGUCAGUAUCAACGUGGAUGAUUGCAUCAUCUUCAUUAACCACAGCCAUGUUGUCAGCCCUGUUAAAGGUGGAUCCUUGUUGGUUACCGUUGCUGACGUGUCGAUUAAAGUUGCUCCAAAUCCACGCGCUGCCUCUAAAUGCUCCACUGAGCAGCUUCUCGACGAGGGUUUCUCCAUCGAUUUUAACACAUUGAAGAAAACAAAGAAGCUGAAGAGGAAAGCCCAUAACAAACACCGUGAUGACAUCACAUCCGGCCAUACCUCAACCCAAGAGUGGAUUCUGUCUCGGAAAGAGAACUGCCUGUUUUGGACUGUUGAAGUGAGAGAGGACAACGGAGUGGGAGCAGGAGAACCAACUGAUUCUGCAGCAGAGCAUCCCCUGUUGCUUCUCCUGGCUCCCCAGUCCCUGAGCUCCUGCUGCUGCACCCACAGGCCCACAGAGGAGGACAGCUCCAAGGCGGACCAGGGACAGGUCCCAGGACAGUCCAUCGGCGGUGGAGCUGGCCAUCCUGGAGUCCCUGAAGAGGCCACGCUAGUCUCCAACGGAGCAUUUCCUCGUCAGCCUUGUUCCUGCUCUGGAGAGCAUGCUGCCUCAGACGAGAGUAUUAGUGAAAUUUCAAAUUUAUAAAUUCGUUUUUGAAAACAGCACAGCUGUGUUAAAUUUGGAAACAUUGGACCCAAAUAAUCAGUAGUUUUCUGAUGAGGCAGCAGACUCUCCAGGGCAGAAACAAUGUUCUUAUUUUUCUCCUCCUUCUCCCUGAGGCUCUUCCACUUUAAGCUGGGUCCUUUUUAUUCCUGUCCCUCUGUAAAUAGUUAUAUUUUAUAUAUUUAUGUUUUUCUGUUUGAGAAUUUUAAUAUUAUUUCAAAUAAAUUUUUGUAAUGACUAAUGUCUCAGUUCCACUACACAGCAGAUAUUGGCACACAACUUGGCCAAUUUCAUAUUAUAGAAUAGAAUAAUCCUUUAAUUGUCCCACAAGGGGAAAUUUGGUUGUAAC
ensembl:lncRNA